rnacentral:rRNA from 1 species
AGAGUUUGAUCCUGGCUUAGGAUGAACGCUAGCUACAGGCUUAACACAUGCAAGUCGAGGGGCAGCAUUGGAGUAGCAAUACUCAGAUGGCGACCGGCGCACGGGUGAGUAACACGUAUCCAACCUGCCGCUUACUCGGGGAUAGCCUUUCGAAAGAAAGAUUAAUACCCGAUGGUAUAAAGAGUUCGCAUGUUCUCUUUAUUAAAGAAUUUCGGUAAGCGAUGGGGAUGCGUUCCAUUAGAUAGUUGGCGGGGUAACGGCCCACCAAGUCUACGAUGGAUAGGGGUUCUGAGAGGAAGGUCCCCCACAUUGGAACUGAGACACGGUCCAAACUCCUACGGGAGGCAGCAGUGAGGAAUAUUGGUCAAUGGACGAGAGUCUGAACCAGCCAAAAGUAGCGUGAAGGAUGACUGCCCUAUGGGUUGUAAACUUCUUUUAUAAGGGAAUAAAGUGAGGGACGUGUCCCUUUUUGUAUGUACCUUAUGAAUAAGGAUCGGCUAACUCCGUGCCAGCCGCCGC